AUGAAAGAGCUCCUCCCGCGCCCGGUGCCCGCGGCAGGCUCUGGAGAAGCCGAGCGACCCAGCUCUCCAGCCAGGGCUGAAACCGGACAGAAUCGCAUGCAUCCUGAAUUGCUUAAACACCUGUUAACUUUUAAAAAUAGAUGCCUUUGUAAAGGUAAACAAGAAAUUAGUUUCAUUUCUCAUACAAUGGUCUCUGCAGAAUGUAUUAUAACAUUGAAGACGAGACCGAAAGUUGGCAUAAUCCUGGAUGUCUACCUUGUGUCGUUUGGAAAUGCAUAGCGAGAUGUUGACACACAUAGCUAUGAAUAAGAUGUUACGGUAACCCGGGAAUCUUGGCUGUGUGUUAGGCUGAUUAUUUUGUCACGUUAUUCUGAUAAAAUAGAGUGAAAUUCUGAUCCUGUUCUCAGGUUUGAGUUAAAAUGAAACUGAUUCUUGUUUCAGCAGGGGAAAGGUAUCUUUUGCUUACCCGUUCCAGGGCACCUUUUGGUCUCAUUAGUUUUAGGGCUUCUGUUGUAAAUCCACGCCUGACGCUCUGCUGACAUUCAGAUUUCUCAAUGAAUUCUCCUCUCCAAGCCCAUGUUCUCUCUUCGGGUUUCUAUUGUAGACUGUCAGUGUUUUACUGCUUUCUGCCCCAUGUAUCUUAUCAAAACAUGAGCUGCGGAUCCUAAUAGGAGCAUCAGUGUUCUUCUGAUCGGGCACUUCUGGGUGUUUAUUUGAACAUUGAGAGGUAUGAACUAAAGGGCAACAUAUUUAACAUUUCUGAAGCAGUGGAUGAGAGGUGUCUAUGCCCAGAAACAAAAUAAAUGCACUUUGGGAUGACUCAGUUUUUAGGGUGUGGAUCAGAGCAAAAGGAACCCAGCCAGUCUUAAUCGAGUUGCUGGCUGAUUCAAGUAUCUGUUGCAGCUUUCACUGAGACGAAAGUCCUGGUCUCUAGUCCUGGUCAUAUCUUAGUCCUCUCUGGCUCCCACCUCUGCCCUUCCUUCUGAACCUUGUGCUUUUCACGGCAGCAUCUCUUAAGUACUAUUUCUUUCUUUCUUUUUGUCCCUCUUGGUACUGGGAAUUGAACCCAAGGCCUUCACACUGAGCUACAUCCCAGCUCCCUCUUUUUUUUUCAAAAUUUUACAAAGGGUCUUGCCAAGUUCCUACAUUGCUCAGGGUGGGCUUGAACUUGUGAUCCUCCUGUUUCAGCCUCCCAGAUUGCUGGAAUUAUAGGAGUGCAGCACCAUGCCUGGUACUUUAAGUAUUUUUAAAACUACCUUGAGGAGAAGAGGGAGAGAAAAAAAUCUGCAGCUGACUCACAAGGCUACUUAGAUAAUUGUAUUGUGAAGUCCAAAGCUAUGAUUUUACCCAACUCUUGUCCUGUACUUUCAUACCUUUGGCUGGCAUUUUACUCUUUUUUUUACAUUAAGUUUAUUGGUACAUUUUUGGUAUACAAUGUGCUGACAUUCAUCAUUGGGGAUUUGUACCUUUACAUGAUAUAGCUUGGUUCUUUUUUUCCCCCCAUUUCCCUGUCCUCCCUUCAACGCCUCCACCCCUCCCUAUUUAUUUCCAUUUUUUUCAUUUCUUCAUAUUUAUUCUUUUCUCUUUUUCUUUCCCUGAU
rnacentral:lncRNA from 1 species